UUAAUAAUAGUUAUGAUAUUUUGAAUUGAUAUUUAAUAAUAUUUUUUAUGAAAUGUUUUUUAUCGAUGUAAGGAAAGAUCAACUUUAUAAUUUAUAAAGUGACUAAACCAUUUAUUACAUGCAUGGAAAAGGAAGAAAUAUGACUAAAAUUGUAUUGUUUGCUUAUGUCAUAGUUAUCAUAAUUUCUCUGUUUUUUGUUGCUAUGAACAUUGAAGCGUUCUUAUAUCCACCGCUUUGUUGUUAUAGUGAUUCGGAUUGUCCUCCAUUUAGGUGUUGGAGACCUUGGAUAGCAAAGUGUGUCAAUAGAUGGUGUAGAUGUGUACCUGAGGAAGACAUAUGAUAUUAUUUGUGAUGUCACUUAGCUUUUGUUUUUAUUUCCUUUUUAUUUUUAAAGUACACCUUGACAUCAAAAAUGACACUAAAUACUUACACUAUGCCAUUGUUUACUUACUGAGAACAGUAUAAUAGUACUCGUGAACAAUAUCAGUAAAUAGUAAUUUUUAGUGGUAAAUAAAAGUUGGUUACUAAAAUUUAAAAA